UGCAAGCGUUAUCCGGAAUGAUGGGGCGUAAAGCGUCCGCAGGUGGCUGUGUAAGUCUGCUGUCAAAGAGCGAAGCUCAACUUCGUAAAGGCAGUGGAAACUACACGGCUAGAGUGCGUUCGGGGCAGAGGGAAUUCCUGGUGUAGCGGUGAAAUGCGUAGAGAUCAGGAAGAACACCGGUGGCGAAGGCGCUCUGCUAGGCCGCAACUGACACUGAGGGACGAAAGCUAGGGGAGCGAAUGGG
rnacentral:rRNA from 1 species